rnacentral:tRNA from 1 species
GCCCCUGUGGUGAAAUGGAUAUCACGUUUGGCUUCGGACCAAAAAUUUUAGGUUCAACUCCUGACGGGGGCACCA